CAAUCUUUUCACUUGUCUUUCUUUCUUUCCGCUCUUUGUGCCUCCCAAACUUCUGUGUGUUGACUUCUCUUCAAUAGCAGGACUACUUGGGUCAGAGCCGUAUUCUUCUACACAGUAAGUAAAUAAAAGCAACACACAAUGUAAUAGAGGACAGAACAUAAUAAAGACGGCACUUGUGCCAAGUUCACCAAGUGCUAUUAGGAAGAAAUUCUUUAUAGAAAACAUUUUCACUUGAUUGAAAAGCAUUCUUUUCUGGUAUUUCUUUUAAGGUGAGCACAAAGUUGGUGAAAAGUUAAGAGCAAUCUCUGAAGAAGACAUACGAUGCUGUUUUUUUUUGUCAUGUUACAAUGAUGGAUGUUAAUAGUUACUGUAAAUUCCUAUGUUUGACACAUCCAAUAAAACAAUGAGCCAAAAGAGUUUCUAUUAUAUUCAAGUAUUUUAUUUACCAAGUUCCACACAGUAAACAAAAGGAUCUGUUGUACCAGAGUGGAGUGGAGUACCACCGUUUCAAACUGUGUAGCUGCAUACCAGGCCUGCUCACCGGAUAAGUCAUGGGUGCUUUCAAGGGAGCAGAGGUAUGUAUCAUCCACUCUCUGGGACCAGUUAGCAUUCAUCAGCAAUUACCAAAGUGGCUCCAGCAGUUGGCAUUAUCUCUUACGUGUUUUGCGGUCUCACUGUACAGCUUGUUUUGAAUACAUUGUGAGAUCUGAUCCGAACCUGACAUCAAUGAAGUUGUCUGUUUAGGGCAUUAAGUCUUCUUGCAGUCCAUCUAAAUUCUUAAAAUUAGGAAAGUUAAUGCUGCACAAUAAAGGUCCUUUUCUCUGAGUAAUGUAAACAAUCAGCUACCUGCACCAAGUUUUCUGCUCUCUGUCCAUGGUGCUGAAAAACAGCUCAAGGUUUCCCUGAUGAAUAGCUGAUCUCUUUAUUCAUAUACCUGCACAUACCUGCAACAGUUUGCAGUUGCUAAGUCAGUCUUUGACUUCAGGUCAUGUAGCCAUAGUUUUGCUCAGCUGCAGCAUUGCCCUCAAAGCAGUUGGUUAAGUUUAAAGACUUGAUUUGUUUUCAGCAACCUUGUUUUCAAACUCUUAAGGGAGACACAACAGGACCAGCAAGACCUCUGAAUUGCAGAUAUUUCCUGAAUUGCACUAAAGGCAGAAAAUGCCAAGUUUUCAUGCAACACAAAUGUUGAGAUGUUUGCAUUAAAUGCAUCAAAUUAACUUUGGCAAUCAUUAUGUCAGGUUUACUCUGUGGAUUACAUGGGUCAGGCCCAAACUUUGUAACAAAAUUGGUACUGUCAAAUGUAGUGAUGUGUUCUUUGUUUGUUUGUGUGUGUGUGUGAUUGUGUUUGUGUACUUGAGGAGGGCAGCAGUUGCCUGAGCAGCCAGCAGCUUCUGAUAAGACAAAGGCAGGUUGUUUGCUGUCUCUUCCUUGGCUGCCUGGCCAUUAAAGGUAACCUGCUAUCUGAUGGAGGCCAGGCUGGACACCCCCAGUAUGGCUGGACAUACUAAGGCUGUACGCGCGCGCGCGCGUGUGUGUGUGUGUGUGUGUGUGUCUGCUCCCAUCUCCACCCCUUGAACCUGUAAAUACAUGGUAUGUCUGUUCUUAUUCAGACUUUAUAACUGCUCAGAGAGUCGAGUGGAGCCCCAGCUAUCCUCCUGCAGAAUUGCUUUGUUCUGGUCCUGGUGUGUGUCUGUGUGUGUGUGUGUGUGCGUGAACGUGUGAAAAUGGGUGCGUGUUGUUUAGGUGUUGACUGGUUCAAGUGUCUCCUCUCAUGUCUAUUGCAUCUCCUGUGUAUAUGCACCCAGCGUUGAGUCCUGAAAACAUGAAGAAAUGCAAAACAUGAACACUCCUGUCUGUUAUUCAGCCACAUCGAGGCUUGGUUGAGCAUCAACUUCUGAACUGAAAUUUGUCUUUCCACUUUGUCACUUCCAAUAACAUAUCAUUGCAUAUCAUUUGGAAGGUCUGUUCAGUCAUAAAUGGUAGGUUAGCUUUGACUUAAGCCUGUAAUCUCCAUCACAAGUAGUUUUACGAUGGUUUGCACAAAGACUAAGAAGAUUUAUCCACGGUAAUAUCACCAAUUGGUUUGUAAACUACCGAUUCGAAGCCCUGCAUCUUGGCAGCCACCAUCUUUUUUUUAAGGCAAAAGCCACCAUAUUUGGUUGUAGGUUGGAUAUGCAUUGCUGCCCCUGUUUUUAUUGUAAAUGUAUUGGUGCAGUAGAAACCUGGCAAUCGUAGGUUGCCCAGGCCUAAUUUCUUCCUUGUCUAAUGUCGGUUGGAUUUUGAUCAAGACCAUAAUUUACAAAACUAGCAAGAAUUAGAGAUUAAGGUUUUAAAAAAACUAAUUUGAAAAUUGUUUAUUAAGAGACUAAAUCAAGUGACAGUAUUUUUAUACCAGAUGGGUUGUCCCCUCCUAAUGAUACAAAGAUGAAAGUUUCAAGGCAUGCACACAUAGUAUCACUUGAAAUCUAAUUGCCAUUUCAAUUUCUACUGUGAAGCCUACUGUGCUGUGUUUCCAUUAAAAUGCCAUAAUUAUCAUGUUAGUGGGAAAGUUUGGUUUCCAAACAUGAGAUUUUGGCUGUUGGUGUGUUCACUACACUAAUGAUGCUGCUGCUCAAAGACAGCCAACCAAUUCUAUUUUUACCAAUUAAGUUCUCGCAAGGCUGGACAAACGUUUGUUUAAAACUAAGGCUUUCCAAUGUAGAGUGUAAAACUUCUCUCCGACUGGUCAGUUUAAGAGCCCUAAUGUCCCAAAGUUUCAGACUUAAGUUUUAGUUUACAACUGUAGGAACUCAAUAAAGUUUACUCAGAACUAUAUUUAGGUAUCAAUACACUGAAAAACUAGAGAGAAAAUCUAGCUAUAAACAUCAUCAGAUUUUAUUUUGCAUCACAAAGUUUUCUGCAGGUGAGGAGGUAUGGUGAAAAAAAAAAAAAGUUCAGCACAUACAAGUCUACAAAUCACAGCACAGAAAAGACUGGAAUUUUUUGUAAGUAAAAGUCGCGUACACCUCUGUGUGCACCUUUGCCAGCGUCACUUGAACCAAAGCUGAGCCUGCAGCGAUGUGAGGGCAUAUAAAGCUGCAGACAGCAAGAUCCAGGCUUUUACUGACCAGAACUAAAUUCUAAAGCAAACACACACACACAUAUAUGCACGCACACACACAUGCACACACACACACUGAGCGGAGUACUUGCCCAUUGGCAGCAGCUUCUUUGCAGCCUGAGCGACUGUGGCUGCUUCUGGCUGGGUCCAAUGCAAAGCUGCUUAACAGGACUCAUCUGGGAUCAGUGACAGAUGGACAACCUGUCCUGGAGGCCCGGGCACCACCGGAGCUCCUGGAGACAGGUAAACCUGGUCAGAGCCCCACAGAGCCCCGAGGAUGCUUACAGUGUAAUCGCAAGAUUUAACAGUAGAGGUGCAUUUACACACACACACAAACGCAACCAUGCUCACACACACACACUGGACAUGAACCCAAACACUCACCUACAAACAAAUGUCUGAGAACCGCCUCUUGCAUCAUGCAGGACAAACGUGUCCUCUUGUUUUGCUCACAGUUCAGAAACCUUCAGGGUACGAUUUGGGACUACAGUACGAGCAUUUACCAGAGAUUUGUUUGAUUUAAUUUCAAUUUGAUUUAUUGAGAUGGAAACAGCAUGAAACAACAGCUUUUACUUCUGUCUUAGAUAAUGAUGUAAAAUAUAGAUGGGGGAAAGUUAUACUGUCAUACUUUCUAAUACAGCAGACCAUGUGACUUUACCCUAAGUAGCUUUGUCACUAAAUUUAUUAACACUAUUACUCAGAUUUCAGGACUUUUCAGCAACCUUCAGUAUUGAGACAUGAGGCUAAGGGGGAGUACAAAACACUGCAUUUCCUUCGGUGUCCUCUUGAGGCUGUUUCAAAAAGCUAAGGAGACCCCAUUAAAGGGAUAUUCUUGCAUAAAAUUAAUUUAGGGUCAAACACAAACUAUAACACCGAGUUAGACACCCCCUCGAGAGAUGAAUGGGGCCGACUGCUUGUUUCUCUAGUUAUACCAACUUUCGUAACGACCACACGAUAGCAACACAGAGCAGUCUAUGGAACCACACAUGAACCUCAACCAAAAGGCCACUCUAUAGCCACAAAUAAUGCUCAGAACAGCACCUAACUUCAUCAACAGCACAUAUAGGGUCCCAGCCACAGCACUAGCCACCAAACAUCUUUUUAACUCUGCCUAAUUUCUUUAGCAAAGUGACUAAACACAACUCACCUACUCUCUUCCAGCAGCCACUUGUUUGUAGCGAGACCUCGGGACAGUCCAUUAUGGACUACAGCAGGGUGACGCAGCUCAAGGAAGAACAUUUAUAAUCAUUUCUUCAUGGAAAUGAAAUCAGACCGAGACGCUAAGGCAGAAGAACUACCGUGUCUGCAGUGCAAAAUGAUUAAUAUGAUGAUUAUUACUUCAAGGAAAUGAUAAUGAAAUGAUCACAUAUGUUCUUCCUUGAGCUGACCCCCGCUGUAGUUCGUAAUGGACUGGCCAGAGGUCUUGCAAAAAUGCUUGCCUUUUACAGCAGAGAUAAACAUGCACUGUCUGGUACAAAGACAUAUUUUUCUUUACUCUUGACAACUCUAUGGGCCCAAUUAUAUCACCAAACAUGCAUGGUCUGAUUUAGAUGUGAAUCAGGGUGUGUCCAACCACUUUUUGCUAGUAAAGCAGCGUGCAAUCUCAAGUGAGGCCAAAGGCACAAAGUGGUUUGAUUAUGACCCUUGGUUAUUAUGCGUAUAAUGGGGCAACAUGAAUCAAACCAAUCAGUGCAUUUGCUAUAAUUCCCUUUAUGAUCAUAUAAAACUAUAUAUAUGUACACUCACCGGCCACUUUAUUAGGUACACCUGUCCAACUGCUCGUUAACACUUAAUUUCUAAUCAGCCAAUCACAUGGCGGCAACUUAGUGCAUUUAGGCAUGUAGACAUGGUCAAGACAAUCUCCUGCAGUUCAAACCGAGCAUCAGUAUGGGGAAGAAAGGUGAUUUGAGUGACUUUGAACGUGGCACGGUUGUUGGUGCCAGAAGGGCUGGUCUGAGUAUUUCAGAAACUGCUGAUCUACUGGGAUUUUCACGCACAACCAUCUCUAGGGUUUACAGAGAAUGGUCCGAAAAAGAAAAAAUAUCCAGUGAGCGGCAGUUCUGUGGGCGGAAAUGCCUUGUUGAUGCCAGAGGUCAGAGGAGAAUGGCCAGACUGGUUCGAGCUGAUAGAAAGGCAACAGUGACUCAAAUAACCACCCGUUACAACCAAGGUAGGCAGAAGAGCAUCUCUGAACGCACAGUACGUCGAACUUUGAGGCAGAUGGGCUACAGCAGCAGAAGACCACGCCGGGUGCCACUCCUUUCAGCUAAGAACAGGAAACUAAGGCUACAAUUUGCACAAGCUCAUCGAAAUUGGACAAUAGAAGAUUGGAAAAACGUUGCCUGGUCUGAUGAGUCUCGAUUUCUGCUGCGACAUUCGGAUGGUAGGGUCAGAAUUUGGCGUCAACAACAUGAAAGCAUGGAUCCAUCCUGCCUUGUAUCAACGAUUCAGGCUGGUGGUGGUGGUGUCAUGGUGUGGGGAAUAUUUUCUUGGCACUCUUUGGGCCCCUUGGUACCAAUUGAGCAUCGUUGCAACGCCACAGCCUACCUGAGUAUUGUUGCUGACCAUGUCCAUCCCUUUAUGACCACAAUGUACCCAACUUCUGAUGGCUACUUUCAGCAGGAUAAUGCGCCAUGUCAUAAAGCUGGAAUCAUCUCAGACUGGUUUCUUGAACAUGACAAUGAGUUCACUGUACUGAAAUGGCCUCCACAGUCACCAGAUCUCAAUCCAAUAGAGCAUCUUUGGGAUGUGGUGGAACGGGAGAUUUGCAUCAUGGAUGUGCAGCCGACAAAUCUGCGGCAACUGUGUGAUGCCAUCAUGUCAAUAUGGACCAAGCUCUCUGAGGAAUGCUUCCAGCACCUUGUUGAAUCUAUGCCACGAAGAAUUGAGGCAGUUCUGAAGGCAAAAGGGGGUCCAACCCGUUACUAGCAUGGUGUACCUAAUAAAGUGGCCGGUGAGUGUCUUUAUUGAGUUUAAGUAUAUUUAACUUCCCCCCUUUGACUGUGCUCCAAAUAACAUGACAACAACACGUGAGUUGUGUCAGUGCUUAGACUGAUGUUGAAUCCACUGAAACUGUCCCUUUAACUGUUUUCAGCUACCUUUGCAAUUUCCUGGUAUGCUCGUUGUUUCUGUUUUAGUCGUGUGUGUCUUGGUGUAUUUGUUAGUUAAUGUUGUGAAAUGUGUUUAUAGUUUAAGAAAAAUGAUGAGUAACAUGGAAGAUGAAAAAUGGAGGCCCGGGCUGAGAGAAAAGAGAGUAUGUGUGUGAGAGUGCAACAGAAACACACAUGAAGGUCACAUUUAAAAGCUGGCAUCUCUCCUAUGGCAGUAUAGCUUCAUGGCCUCCUCAUGCCACCAUGCUGCCUAACCCAGCACUGAAUCCCAUGGUGCAUUUCACACUUGUUUUGCAGCCGUGAGAUGAUUUGUCAGCAGCUAAAGGAUGGAAUUAGCUCCUUUGCAGUCAUCCUUGGCCUCUCAUCAAUAGCUCUUAACUCAUUUGUUCUUUGCUGUUGUUUUACGUCCAAAACGGUAUGUGUGGCAAUGUCAGGGUGGGGUUGUCGGGGUUGGUAGAAGGAAGGGGGGGGGCAAUAAUUAGCGUUGGUAUUGAAAAGUAAUAACAGUAUGGAUUAAUGUGGGAGAAGUGGAGUGGAGCGCAUCAUCGAGUGAGACAAAUCCAAUGCUGGGAAUUGGCAGACAAAGCAAGAGGCAGUCAAUAGGGAUUAUGUGGGGGCUAAGCCGCCCCACUUUGGCUGGGGGAGGCUGGGUGAAGAGAAGUGGGCUGGGGUGCCUUGAUGGCGGUGGUGGUAGCAUUUGGACAGGCAUCGAUGCACAUUCAUGCAGGUUGGCUUGAAGCUGCCACCGUCUGAGCAGACGUUGCACAGCCUCUCUGGUGGAGAGCAUGGGGAGAAGGCUGGGGAGACAUAUAGGGGGUGACAGGGGGAGGAGGAAGAGAGGACAGACAUCUUGCUUCCUCUAUUUAGCUCCUAUAACUCCUCCCACAUAACCACCCAGCCCUCCACUCUCUGUGAGACCCCAGAUCCCUCCACCCCCUAAGGGAGGUGGUGCAUUGCCGCUGCCAGAAGCUGAGUCUGUGCCAGCUGGGCAAACACUCAAGUCGUUGACAGAAUAAACACCUUGCAAAUAGAAGCAGAGAUGACACAGGCUCAGACACAGCGAGCAGCACGACUCCCCAUACAUCAGCAGGUCUGCACUCACUCCUUCGCAGCAUGAGCGGAGGGACUGAGGGUUUGACUGAUACAUCUGUUCUAACUCAUUUUGUUCUGUUUAAAACACCCCCAUCCUACUUAGUACAUGUCUCAGCUUUGGUGUGACUCAUAUUUUACAUCAUUUUGUCAAUCCCGUGUAAAAUGUUUUCUUCCAGCAGAUGGGAAACAGGCUCAUGGAGAUAAGGGAUUGAAACUCAAGACCCACUAAGGCUACCAACAGCCACUACUACUUUCUAAAAUCUUGUCAUUCCCAGCCUGGCCACUAGUUGCCCUCAGUGAGCUUCACAUACUUGCCAGCUACCUGCCAAUCUUAACAAAUAAUCACCUUUCCCAUUUACAGCCUUACAUAAACGUAUCUUCCACAGUGUAGUGCUCAGUUGGAUUUUUAAAGAUGCUUUACCUCUAUUCUGGUUUGUCCCUGUUGUGUGCCCACCACAGUUUAACACCAGGUUUCUGUAAGCCUGGUUCACAUGUGCAUUGCAUUUUCAGACCUGCACUUACCCAGGAGCAAAGCCAGACUGUGUGCUAGGAGCUGCAUGAUUAUAGCCACAAUGAUAAUAACAAUCAAGACUUAGAUCCCAAGAAAAAAUCACAGUUGUGACGUAUUUUUGCAACAAAUUUAAUUUACAGUUUACAGUGAAUUUCAUAAACAGACAUCCUGCGUCUUGACAUGGACAAAAAAUCUGUCCAUUCUGGCCCCCAAAAUUUGAUCAAGUAUAACGUCAAACAUCAUGUAAGCUUGACUUUUAUUUGAGUUUUGGCAUGACUUUGACACAUGGAUUUUCCUCUGAGAUUAACAUGAUGUGGAAUUAAUGGGGAAAUUAUCUGAACUUGAAUAUAUUUUAACAUUUUAUUUCAUUACAGUUACAGAUGUAAGCUUUCAGUCUUUUGGCCUUCAUCUUUAAAACAGGUGGAUUUAGUCUAAUUACCUUCUGAUUUUAUUUAAUAAUGACUUGGACUUUCUGUGUGAUCUUGACUGAACACGUAUCAUUAUUAUUCAUGAGCCUAGAGUUACAAAAGGUAAAGAGUUGAUGUUAGCUUAUUGAUGCUCCUGCAGCUUAGAUCAUCAUGCUCAUUCUGCUCCUCUGCUUGACUAACACACACCUAAAUCUCCUGCUCUCAGCCCGCUUUGCUGUCUUUUUUUCUACACUUUCUACUACAAACCUCAUCAACAUGUACAUCACUUCUUUCUCACUGGUGUCAAAGAUGAAAAAUCUUAUACCAGAAUUUGUGUUGUUCAGGUGACUUUCUAAUAGUAACUGCUAAUGAAUAUUGUUUUGUUACGAAUAUUGUGAUGAUUAUAAUAUAUAGUUAAUUUUCAUAGGCAAUAAUUGCUCAGUGCACAAAGCUGAACUCUUUCUUUUAAUACUCCACAAAGGAGUGUUACAGCCAAUGUUAAGACAUGUUUUGUUACCAAGAGUGACUUAUUUUGACAGUACUUUACUGUUAUGAACAAGAGAGCCGACAGUCCAAAUGUGUGGAAGCUGUGGGGGACUCAAUGGCAAAGUAGCUCCAGUGAGACCUGGGCCAGUGGUUCAGAUCUAUCUCUUUAACAGUUUGUGUAUUUUUUUAUAGUAUUAUCAAGUGUCGAGCACUAUCAUAACAGCUAUGCCUCGCUAGCUGGCAUGUCAGCAAGCUCUCCAAAUCAAAGUUUGCUGUGCCACCUGUCCUUUUGACCAAGACUCAGAGACUGGUUCAACAUCUCUGGCCCUGUUGUACAGCUCUAGCUUGGAUCUCAUUAUUUCUUGAGGAUGAAACACUUAUACUCGAAGUUGCUUUGAGUAAAACAUAUUUCAGGAAAAUAAAGAAAAUGGCCAGGAGCUGUUCACUUGCCUCCACUGAACUAAAGAAGAGACAAACUCGAAAUAAAAGGCUGCCUGUUUGUUUGGGUCCUCUGGCGUACCAAUCGUCCAUGUCUUUUACUUGCUGAAUGCCUUCAUUUUACCCCUUUACCGCCCUUAAAAAUGCAUAGAAAUCACACAAAAAGUCCAGUCACCCUCAGUUUCCACGAGAACACAAACUGUGGGUUUCAAAACAACCCAGUAAAAAAGAGUGAAACCCAGAUCAAAUCCAUCCACACUAUCCAAUAAAGAGUCUUUCAGGGCACAACAUGGGCACCUUUUGUUGUUUUUAUUUAGAAAUGUACCCUCUACACUUAAGGCUCUGUAGCUGUGGAGGACACUGUUGGAAAGUCUGGAUGGUGACUUCAACACGGAGGUUUCCAUUUCUAAGACAUUCAGAGCUGUUUCAAAGUCUGAAAUUGACUUUAGAAGUGUCUGGACUUCACAUCCUUUUGCCUUUUUUUCCAAAGUGUUGCAUCAUUUCCCUUUUUCACCCAGCUGCUUCCUUCUUCACGGCAUGUGGUCAGCAUUUCCUCAGAGCUUUGGAGAGGAUUGCAUUUCUGGAACCAACAUGCCAGAAAGAAAAAAAAGGCAUUGCAACUAAGCUGCUGCGAGCACUAUCCUCUCUCUCUCCCAUCCUUCGUAAACCUUGCAUACUUGUUUUCCUGUAAGUCAUUUGUAAGCAUGUGUUUGGGCUCAAUGCUAAACAAAUAAUCCAAUAAAAUCAGAACAGCCUUGUUCCGUCACUUUCUUUCAGGAAGAGGGAAACAGGACAUGACUGAUUCGGUUGAGAUUUAUGUUUUUCUUCACUCAUUUCAUCAUAAGUCAUUCAUUUAUUCAAUGCCCAUUCUCUCUGCAUAUAAUUCUUUAAUUUUUAUGUUAAUGGCUUCAUGGGGCGGUGGCUGGCUUUUGAUGACAUAUCUCCAGUGGAGAUCCUUGGACGGCUUAGUCCGCCCAUCCAAAAAUAGCUGUGAAAUCCCACCAAAUAAUAGAACGGUGGUGUGGUGGAGGGUGAGGCGGAGGGGGUGCAGGAGGGGUGGAUUUGCGGCAGCUGAGGCUUUGCAUUCGAAUGGCAGAGUCUGUCUGGAGUAAAGGGACCCCCCUCUCCACACCAGCCCUCCACCACCACAGCCACAACACCCAAGAGAGAGACGGAGAGGGGAGGUGUUAUCGGGUCCUUGCAGCCAUAGCCCUGACUUGUUCCUGAAUACCAAAUGUGGCACAGGACCAGAAAAGUGAGUUGUCUUUGUUUUGUCAAGUGUGCCAUGACAAAAUGCUGGGUAGCCCCCCUCAUGACCCCUCCUUUCCCACUCCUCACAUCCCCCAUAUGCACACACACAAACAUGCACACAGACAUGCACAUGCAGGUGAAGUAGCUCUGCUUGUUUGACCUGCUAAUCAUCUUUGCAUAAAUACAAAAACACACACACGUGCACACGAUUCAUGUCUGCGGUACCUGAUGCAUCACUGUUUCCAUAGGGAUAGCUGCACCUAUGACACUCAUGCAUCUAUCUGAAAACAUACAUUCAUACAUGCUGAAAUGCCCCAAAACAAUCUUGUGUGUUGUGUGACAGCAUGUUCACACACACAAUCACACAAAAACAAGGAGAAACAACACACUCCUGGGAAAUGUGUUUGUACAUACAUACACAAACACAAACACACACAGACAUCAAACCUCUAUCUUCACGGCAACAAGUCCUGCUAAAUAUUCAUGAAGCCCAACAACAACAACAACAACAACGGUGUCCUCUCUCACCAUCUGCUUCAUGCUGUCCCUCGCCUUUUCUCUUUCUCUCUGGUGGUCUUUGUCUUAGUCUCUCGUCCAUGUGACUGCCGUGUGUUUGAGGGACAUCAGACAGCCUUUGAGGGGUUUAUUAUUAAGCAACCGACUGUUGUCCUGCCCUGAUAGUCCUAGUCCAAUGACUUCAUGCAGCCCUACAUCACAACAGCGUCUCACAUAUACACAUGUGAACUAUGUGGGGAAAUAACAGGAUUAAAUCAUAAGUUGUAGACGAUCAUGAUAUUUAGCCUAUGCACCAGUAUUUAUUCCAGUAUUAAAAAAGAAAAUGACAAAAGUAAGCUUGAAAAACUGUCCAUUUAUGGCUCUAAGUAGCUUGUAAAGUUCACCCAUCAGUAAGUGUAUUGGGAAAUUUUUCAGAAGGCCAUUUUUUUUUUUACUUUGCUACAUGCGGGGUACCAAAUAGUCUUGGUUUAGAGUGUACGCUUAAAACCAAGAUGAGCACUUUGGUCAGAUACGUUAUGUGGCAAAGUCGGCCCCAUGUGCUAAAAAUGGUAGCAUACUAGCAUACCUUGCAUCCAAUUUCUGUUGACCAGCAUCCAUUGAAGUAACUUACCAGCCACAUGUUAUUCAAACAACCUCACUUUAAAUAUACUGAAAUAUCCCAUUUCAGACCCACUCCAAAGACAAUCAUGUUUUUCUUGUUGUCUACAUGUUCAUAUGGCAGUUUUCUGAUGCUACAGGACAUAUCAUGAGAAAACUAAGUGCAAAAUUGCAUUUCUGGGUAUUUCUGCAUUCAAUUCUCUGUGAACCUCUUGCAGACCCAAAUGGCAGGCUCAGACACAGUGAGAUUUUCUACAUCACAAAUCUAUGCUCUGUCCCCAGUGCCUCGCUCUGCAGGCCAGACCCCGAGAAGUAGAAAGGACGAUCGUGGAACAAGUGUUUGCGGUGACGGAUUACAAUCCUCGCAAGAAAGCUAAUUAUGAUGUUACCUUUUAGAGGAGGGUGCAGAGCUGUCUCUGCCCACAACUCAGAGGUAAAUUGCUGAUGAGUGACUGGAGCUCUGCAGAAGAAAAGCCCUUGAAGUGACUUGGUUUUUUUGCUCUAUAUUCAACAUUGUAUCUUGUGGGCUCCUGCACUGUAAUAGGGUAGUUAGGAUGUAAACACUCUUCUUUUGGCAUAGCUGGGUUUUUUUCCUUGCAUCUCCGUCAGACAUUUCAGGUGAAGAUUUGUCAAGUGGCAUUUUGCAUUACCUGUCUGUGAUGUGUAGAUCAUCUCAAUCUGUGUCCACAUAUUGUUUUUUAUUUGUCUACCAUCUUUUUGUCUUUCAUAUUUCUAGAAAGUGAGGAACCAGAUGCUUCCUCUCACCAGAUUUAAGCCUGGUGUGUAUUUCUGUGUCUCCACAGAAGCCCACACACACUGAAGUCCUCACCUUCUCAAAAUGAAUCACUCAUCUAAACAACGUGGACUGCAAGUACUCUGAUUGGUCUGCUUGGCAGCAGACAUGUCCAGAUUGCUGCCACUUGGCAGCGGCUGUAGUGUCCGUGUCUUGUGAUGACUCCCCUCUAUUCUUCUUUAAAAUAAUGAGAGCAGGAUCAACUGCUGCACAACAUUUAACAGCUUUGACAUAUUGUGCUCAGAUUCGGUCAACGAGGCAUGGAGGGAAAAUAGUGGGACUGGACAGAGGUUAUACAACGAGCAGAGACACUGAGCACCAAAAUGUUCAAGGUGCAUUUUAUUGCUAUCCAGGAGGCGUUGAUAUUGUUCUAAGUCAAAGACACGCACACAUGGAUACACACAAACACACACACACACACAGAGACAGACAGAACAAACAGCCUGCCAGUGCAGUCUGCAUGUGCUCAUGGGCAUGCAGGCCGAGGUGUGAAUGUGUGUCAGAUGGUUCGGUGGGCAGCCUGGCAGCCGGCAAUGUGGCAGUGCCCACACCUACAGAGAAUGACACACACACACACACAAGCCUUUUGCCCUCACACAUGCAGACACACACACCCUUCUAAGCCCCUGCCUGCCUGACCUACAAAUAAUUCUUGCACAGAUUCAUAAAUACACUCACAGAUGGGUUGGAGUCACCUGUUUACCUGGUCUGAUGGUUCUGGUCUGAAUGUUCCCGGUCUGUCAGUGUUCACUAGAUUUUAAAUAACGAAUAUGGCAUUUCUAAACUGAUUAAUAUUUCUAAUACAAGUAAAAAAGAGGGAGUGUUCACCUUUAUUAAAGCAAAUGAGAAAAUAUCCUUUGUUUUAUUGCAAAAAUACUUCAUCAUUGAUGGCUUUGAUUUGUUAUUAAAGCUUGACUUCUAUUGAAAAUAUUUUUUUCAUCCUGUCCAUUGACAAAAAUGUCCUUUUGAAUACAACUUUUCAUGUCGUAGAGGUUAAGUUUAUAACAAUAACUGCUUCUAUCAAGUAUAUCCACAUCAUUCUUUUGUUUUAGGUACCUGAUGAUCUCUCUGCAGGCAUCAAUGUCCAAGGAGCACAUGCUGGCAUUUCUGCCCCAGUUAUGAUGAGGCUGCGUGCAAAUGGCCAAUUACCCCUCAAACUACAAGUGUUUGUUGUUAACAGACUCCAAAACUCUGCUUCAGAAACCAGUAGGUGACAGACAUUACAUCCAUGUCCUAUACAAUUUUUGUUUUCUCUGUAUCUUCACAAAACAAUAGGUGAAGUCACCAAACUAUCUACGGGUUUUCUACAGUGUAUGAUCAAAUGUAUAUUUAUCAUUGAUUGUUUGGUCAGUAAAUAAUGAAAAAAAUAGUGAAAAUACAUAAAUCCUGGUUAAUCAAUUUAAACAUCUUGUCUUGCUCUUUCAACUCUCCAAGACUAUGGAAGAAUAUAUCCAAAAAAAAAAGUUCAGCAAGGGAAAAAAAAGGCUUUAAUGAAAAUGACCUCUUAGUGUUUUGCGCUACAAAGAAACUGGUUUGAAUAUUUAGUUUGUGUCCUGUGCCAAUAACCUCUUUUUAUGAAGCAAAUUUCAAAAUAAAAGUUACAAGGAGCAAAUUUAAACAUGCUUCUAGGCAAUCGUUGAAAGACAUACUUUUAUCAAGUCUCUACAUCUCCUUGUUGUAGUCAUAGUUUCCCUUCUUGAUGUUAGUGUACAGUAUGCUGCUUGUAUGUCUCCCCCUCCUCUAAUUCUCAUUCCAAUCUCGCCCUCACCAUCACUGUCUCCCUCCCUCUGUCUCCCUCCAUCCCUCACUCUCACUCCCCCUCUGUCUCUCUGCUCCUUCUCUCAGCAGUAAGCCCUCUAAUCUCUCCUGUUCAAUCGCCUGGCAGACACAUGCCCUCUGUCUGCAGAGCCAGCGGGGAUGUUUCCUGUGCAGGUGUACCACAGAGCAUGCACAAUAGGUACGAAGAGCACGGGGAGCGUGGCGGCUUUAGUAUGACGAGCAGGGCAGGUUGCAUGAUAAGUAUGCUGAGGAUGGUUAUAGGUAUGGAGAGUAAACAUGGCAGCUAUAGCGGAUGCAGCAGGUCCAGGGCACAGGGUGAUCACAGGGGUUUGUGGGUUAUAAGUAUGCCGGGCAGCGUGUGCAUGGAAACCGCGGAGAGUCCGGCGGGCGUGGUGCGAACAGUGGGAGUAGCAGAUGGUGGACACAGUGAGUAUGAAACAUGGCAGACACUUUGGGUACAGUGAGCACAGUGUGACCCCCUGUGCAGGGUGGCGGGACCGGGGGCCAAGGUUGCCAGUCGUGCCUGGACUCCCGCCCACUCUCCCUGACAUCCUCCAUGACGUUUCCUCUCUCCCCUCUUGCUGAGUCAUUAGUAAUUUUUGAGAGUUGGUAGCUUUUCCCCCCUUGUUGCUGGCAUCUCUUAAUCAAUGUUAAUUGGCUUGGAAUUAGCAUAUGUUAAUUAAUGAUAUUUACUUCAAAUUAAAGGUAUGAGUGGUCCCAGAGGGUUUCCUGUUCAUCUAAUUAGAACCAAUUAGCUGCAAUUAACACGUGUAAAUGAGACGGCACUGAGUCCAAAACAAACAGUGUGUAUAUGCAGGCUGCUGCCCAGCUUCCCCUGUGUUACCAAACAUACACUGAGCCUGUGUUUCCUUUUCUAUCUGUGCAGUCACAUUACAUUCAUGGCAGUAACAUGUGCUAUAACAAACCAGGAGGAACAAAAAGUCAUCUCAGCUCAAACACAUCACCAUCCUGGACCUCUCUGCUCCAAGUUUUCCCGCUCACAUCCUCAGCAUCUCUCCUAUUUUUAGAGCGCGCUGCCAAACUAAUUUGUUUUACAGACCUUCCUAUCAAGUGAAGAAAAUCCCGGAGGUGUAUUAAUUGAAAUUCAGUCGACGGCACAUCUUGUUUUGGUCUAAGAAACCACCAGCCGUGCUGAGUGUGGAGAGUAAUCUCACACAGGGAAAAUUGCCAGGAAAUGAGAAGAUGUAAACAAGGGAGAAGGUAGAAAAUAAACAGAAGUCAUUCAAGCAUCCAUGGCAUCUCACCAUACUCUAUUAAAAGUAGACUGACUGUUUUAGUUUAGAUUCCAGCGGAUCUUCUCUUACUUUUACUAACUGGCUACUUUUUUAGUGGGAGAAAUCACAUCCCAUCUUUCUUGCAGUAAAAAAACAGCUAAAGUAAGUUUUGACACAAAGUACAACGAAAGGACCCAAAGAGAAAAUAAAAAUAACAAGUGAGCUUUAACAAGUGAGUGACAGCUAUCAGGGCUACAAAAUCAAAUUCUCUUCAUUUUUUAAGUGUCUCCAAUAAGUAACAGUGACAGAAAAACACUAAUAAUGUUCCCCAUUAUGCAGAUGACACUCAAUUUUACCUAUCAAUGUGACUGGGGGAAACCAAUUAGCCAACCAAACUAGAAACCUGCUCUAAGGACAUUGUUUAUUUGAGGAUUUUCACCAAAGCACAAAAACUGCACUGCUAAGGAUGACAGAUAGCCAACUGUUGGCCCCACAGUGGUCUCAUCAUCUUGCUGCUUUUGAUACAACUGACCAUAAGAUCCUGUUACAGAGACUUAAAAUAACCUCUUUAGCUUGACUGAAAUCAUAUUUUUCUGAUUGAUCUAAUCUUGUGCAUGUUAGUGAAAGUCUUCUGUGCCCACCAAAGUUAUCUAUGGAGUUCCACAGGGUUCAACGCUUAGACCAAUCCUUUUCACCUUGCUUCAUCAAUCCUUCCUAUAUCAUGCCUAUAACUGAAGCCACAGAAACCAAUAAAAUAACAACUCUUGAAGCACGCCUUGAAGUCAUAAGGACCUAUAAGACCAGGAAUCUUUUGCCACUCAAUUCUGACAAAACUGAAGUUAUUGGUCUCUGCCCCAAAUACUAUAGUGAUUUUUCAAUGAUAUAACUGUAGCAGAUGGGAUCAGUCAGGUAUCCAGCCUCACUGUUGAGAAUCCAAAAGUUAUUUUUGGUCAGGAUAUAUCCUUUAACCUCUACAUUCAAGAAAUUUCCAGAACUGCCUUUUAUCACCUGUUUAAUAUUGAAAACUAUAUGGUAUUUUGAAAUGUAAUAAACAGAGAGCAGACACAUUACUGAAACUCUAUAUUUGAAACAGAAUACAUUUAUGGAAAAUUCACGUUUUUGUCCCAUUUCACAGACUGUCAGAGUAACAGGAAAAUAUAUAUUAAUGGAGAUAUAGAGAGAGUUGGUGUUUUUUACAGUGAAAAAACUGUAUGUAUAUAUUGGUAUCAAUAACAGUAUCGGCUAAAGAUGAGUCUGAAAAUCUCAGCAUGUCAGCAAAAAUUAAACUUUGUACGUUCCUACUUGUCCAUUGCGCUCCCAGUACGCAGGCUGUCUUGUCAUACUUUGAGUAUCUAACAGUAGUAUAGGAGGUGAGACCUAUAAUUAUCAAGCCCUUGGAAUUAUCUAUCAGUCUGGGUGCAGGAGGCAGACACCUUCUCUUUCUCUCAGAAGUGGCUUGAAACUUUCCUUUUCCACAAAGCUUAUAGUUAGGGUUGGCUAGAUCAGCCCUUAGUUAUGCUGCUGUAGGCCUAGACUGCUGGGAAACCUGCCACAUGUAGCCUUUUCUUUCUGUUUGCAUGUCACUGCAUUAAAAUCUUCAUGUCGUCUACCAAACACAGAUCUUAUUUCAGAGGCUCUUGUUUUGGUUGGUACAGACAGCCUGAUGCUGUGGACCUGCUCACACCAACUGUUUCAUUUUUAUCAUCAUUACUAUUAUAAUGCUAUAUGUUAGAAUUAGUAGAUGUUACAAUUUUUCAGUAUAUAUUUGGAAAUACAUUGCAUCCAUGUUGUUUUGCAAGCUAGACUGACCCAGCUGUGCAGAUUUGAUACAGCCUUGCAGACGUGUUUUUCCCUGUCUCCUGUCUCUUGUAUCUGGAUUGCAGGUCUGUCUGGAUGAGUGAAGUCUACAAAGAACUGCAAAACAGCAUUGUCUGCUCUCUGUGCUCAGCUCCUAAAGAGACCUAAAGCACUGGCUAGAGUGUUUUGGCAGACACAACACACAUCCUUUCAUUCCACCUGGGUAUUAUAACUUCCCCCCUGUGCGCGUCCCUUUUCAAAAACCCCAGACUUCAAUUAUCCAUCCUGCAUUGGCGAGGUAUCAAUGAAGAACCCAGCGGUGACAUCCGCAACUUUCCGUGCUGUUCUUUAAUGAUGAAUAGAUGCAGAUUAUAUUUCUUUUUGUGUUUUUUCUUCUCUCCCCUCACCUUCACCUAAACCCCCACCGCCGCCCAUCGAGGUAAAAGAAGGUGUCUUGUUGAAAUCCCUUCCUGCUCUGAGCGCUGCCUAAUCUUGAGUUAGUGGUUGUGGAUGCAGCAUUGACAGGCGUCUCUCUCUCUCUCUCUCUCUCUCUCUCUCUCUCUCUCUCUCUCUGUAGCUUUUGGUAGACUCCCUUCAGCGUACUUACCACUAUAACAAUCAGGGGUGGGGGGUAACGUUGCAGGAGGGUUUGCAGUUGAAAAUACAGCAUCCACCGCCUUUGUUGGGCGAUAAGGGAAAGGUGGCGGGUGAGGGGGUGGAGGGAUACAUGCACACAAGGAGCGAUCUUGGGAGCUGAACAAAUCUGAAAACGGCAUUAUGGGUUGGUAAACACAGAUGCCAUAAGAAGGUGCAGGAUUUGCCGUUUUCCUAUUCCCCCCUUUUUUUAGAGGCUGGAGUACAAGGCACAAAGACGAGGUGGAGGUGGAGUGAGUGGAGGGAUGAAGCGAGAAAGAAAGGAAGAAAAAGGAAGGAAAGGAAAAAGGAAGGAGACGAGGUGAAGGAGAGAGGGUCUGAUAGAGGGAUCCGAACCCAUAGUCAAAGCUAAAUUCAGGUCUCUUCAUUAAACUGUCACUCACCUGCUGCCCCACAGGGUGUCACUUCAUGUAAACACUAUCCUUCAGGCCAAAAGGUUUGGCCUCAAGUACAACUAGUUCAGAUUUAUUCUCUUUUCUUUUUAAUGAACAAGCCUCUUGGUUUCAGUCACAUUCUAGUCAUUUUUGCCCUUUAUAGACUAAUCCAACAAAUCACUAUUACACUGUGGUGGCCUCGAGUCAAAACAAUUGCACAUUCGUCCUCAGAAGCUGCUUAUGUUCUACUUUCAGCUUUACUGUCUGUAUUACUGAACUUGGAGUAACGGUGUAGCUUGCCUUGUGGAGUCUCAGCUUCUCUAUCAGUCCUAACAAACUUAAACUUAAUUAAGUUAAUUUUUUCCCAACACACAGGCUUAGCUUCAUGAGGAGUACUCCUGUAUGAGAGCAGACAAUUUACAGAGAUUAACCAGCAGCACCCUCAUAAAAGGGUCGAUAAUAUUAUGAUUGUUUGUAAUUUUACCCUUUACUAAAUGACCUGUUGAUUGCACUUUUUCUUUUAAUGCCAGCUGAUGAAUGAAAUAACAACAUGCUCCUCAUGUAGUUAGCAUACUUGUUAGCAUGCUAAUCAGAAAGGUGCGUGUAAACCUUAUGGCUAAGUUCCAGUUGAAUCUGGAUCUCCUUUCUUAUACAAAUGCAGUGCCGCUGUGCUGAUCUACCAAAGUAAUAUAGAGACUGCCACAAUGUUAGACUUUCACCUAACAAUUAUUAUCAUGAUAACAAUAUAACCGUGAUGUUAAAAGAAAACACAAUCAGUCAAACAGAGAAAAAGCGAGAAAAGGGUGGAGCAACAAAUGACUUUGUAAGCUCAACAUAUUUUAUCACCUUAUGUGGCAUCAUCUAAUUCUAACAACAUUCAUGUAUUUGAGGUAUUGCCUUUUCAACAGUUGUUUGUCAUGCUUUUAUUUGAGAUUUUUUUCUGCUUUGUGUUCAGGUUGCUUCAUUUCCUACAUUGUCAAACUAUCUUUUUUUAAUCUGUAGAGCAGAAUAGAACUGGAUGCAGAGAAAGGUUAGAAAGUAUACAUGUUUACUUUAUCAGAAACCUAAAGAGAAACAAGCUCCUAUGUUCUUUUUGGAAUAACAACGAAUCUUGGACAUCAGUUUUAAUAACAGCUAAUCAUCUCUCAGAGGACUGCUACAGCAAGAUCACUAGCAAUCUUCUACUUCUUCUUCAUCUAUCCUGUUUUAUGAUGUGUGGCAACCAACAUAAAAUACCACGACUAUAAUGUCAUGGUAUUGUCAAAUGUUAAUUUUUUGCACAAUAUCAGCAUUUCAGUUUUGCCCCCUUUGUCCUUAAGACCAAGUAAAUGGUGAAAGUGUGAGUCUGAGUGAGAUGUCAAGAGUGGACAAUGAUAAACUGUUGUGAUUGAUAAAUAAGGAUGAGAGCACAUUAGAUAUAUAUACACCGGAAAAUAUCCCUCCUUCGACAUAUUGGGCAAAAUAAAUUCUCAUGCAACAGUUUUGCUGGAAGAAUCAAAUGCAUGUUAUCUCUUCUGUAUCAUGAGACAGAUAGUUAAAGGGACACAGAGAGGGAUUUGAGAUGAAGGUAGCUGCACUGAGGAGACUUAAAUCUGCAUGUUUGUGUCUGCUGUGAUCCUGAUUUGUUCCACUCUCUGUCUAGACCUGGAUCUCCUUUGAAGCUGGUCUGAGAAUCGUCUUGAUAUUCUUCUCUACAGGUCUCCCCACAACAAGUGACAAGUAAGUUUAAAGCGUGUCUUUGGACUAGCAGGAAGAAGUACAUUACAGCUACAUCCCUGCCAGUGUUCGGUGUUUUGGCUUGAGGGAAAGGAGAACUCUCACCCUGCCGUCGGCUGCUCGCAGGAGAUAAAAGAUUCGGCGUGUUUUUACCUGCGUUUGUCUCCACCGCUCUGUAUCUGGAAUUACACCAGGGAGCUGGUCGAUAACGCCACUACAAUCAGGCUCGCCACAGUGAGUAGCAUGUUCUCCUUUCAGGGCUGUCACACAGGAAAGACAAUGCAGCACACCUGUAGGCUCCACCGAGAGCUUCCUCUGUUUUAUUGUCAGCUCAGCGCGCUGGGACCCAGGCGUGAGCGGCUGCUCUCUCACAUCACAGAGAAACAACUCCAGACUGUCUCAGUGGAAGACACACUGCAUGUCUGUUCGUGUGUUUGAUGCAAUCAUGUUAAAUGGAAGUCCUGCAGCUGUAGCAGAGGAAUGAUUCAAAAUACAAACGUG
rnacentral:lncRNA from 1 species